rnacentral:rRNA from 1 species
CGUGUAGGCGGUUUGUUUAGUCUGAUGUGAAAGCCCUGGGCUCAACCCAGGAAGUGCAUUGGAUACUGGCAGACUUGAAUACGGGAGAGGGUAGUGGAAUUCCUAGUGUAGGAGUGAAAUCCGUAGAUAUUAGGAGGAACACCGGUGGCGAAGGCGGCUGCCUGGACCGAUAUUGACGCUGAGACGCGAAAGCGUGGGUAGCAAACAG